GACGAACGCUGGCGGCGUGCUUAACACAUGCAAGUCGAACGGAAAGGCCCUGCUUUUGUGGGGUGCUCGAGUGGCGAACGGGUGAGUAACACGUGAGUAACCUGCCCUUGACUUUGGGAUAACUUCAGGAAACUGGGGCUAAUACCGGAUAGGAGCUCCUGCUGCAUGGUGGGGGUUGGAAAGUUUCGGCGGGUGGGGAUGGACUCGCGGCUUAUCAGCUUGUUGGUGGGGUAGUGGCUUACCAAGGCUUUGACGGGUAGCCGGCCUGGGAGGGUGACCGGCCACAUUGGGACUGAGAUACGGCCCAGACUCCUACGGGAGGAAGCAGUGGGGAAUAUUGCACAAUGGGCGGAAGCCUGAUGCAGCACCGCCGCGUGCGGGAUGACGGCCUUCGGGUUGUAAACCGCUUUCGCCUGUGACGAAGCGUGAGUGACGGUAAUGGGUAAAGAAGCACCGGCUAACUACGUG
rnacentral:rRNA from 1 species